UACCAGACUCCUACGGGAGGCAGCAGUGAGGAAUAUUGGUCAAUGGGCGCGAGCCUGAACCAGCCAAGUCGCGUGAGGGAUGAAGGAUCUAUGGUUCGUAAACCUCUUUUAUAAGGGAAUAAAGUGCGGGACGCGUCCCGCUUCGCAUGUACCUUAUGAAUAAGGAUCGGCUAACUCCGUGCCAGCAGCCGCGGUAAUACGGAGGAUGCGAGCGUUAUCCGGAUUUAUUGGGUUUAAAGGGUGCGCAGGCGGUCUGUUAGGUCAGCGGUCAAAGCCCGGGGCUCACCCCCGGUCCGCCGUUGAAACUGGCAGUCUCGAGUUGGAGAGAAGUAUGCGGAAUGCGCGGUGUAGCGGUGAAAUGCAUAGAUAUCGCGCAGAACUCCGAUUGCGAAGGCAGCAUGCCGGCUCCACACUGACGCUGAGGCACGAAAGCGUGGGUAUCGAACAGGAUUAGAUACCCUGGUA
rnacentral:rRNA from 1 species